GAUGAACGCUGGCGGCGUGCCUAAUACAUGCAAGUCGAGCGAACAGACGAGGAGCUUGCUCCUCUGACGUUAGCGGCGGACGGGUGAGUAACACGUGGAUAACCUACCUAUAAGACUGGGAUAACUUCGGGAAACCGGAGCUAAUACCGGAUAAUAUAUUGAACCGCAUGGUUCAAUAGUGAAAGACGGUUUUGCUGUCCCUUAUAGAUGGAUCCGCGCCGCAUGAGCUAGUUGGUAAGGUAACGGCUUACCAAGGUAACGAUGCGUAGCCGACCUGAGAGGGUGAUCGGCCACACUGGAACUGAGACACGGUCCAGACUCCUACGGGAGGCAGCAGUAGGGAAUCUUCCGCAAUGGGCGAAAGCCUGACGGAGCAACGCCGCGUGAGUGAUGAAGGUCUUCGGAUCGUAAAACUCUGUUAUUAGGGAAGAACAAAUGUGUAAGUAACUAUGCACGUCUUGACGGUACCUAAUCAGAAAGCCACGGCUAACUACGUG
rnacentral:rRNA from 1 species